rnacentral:rRNA from 1 species
AACGCGAAGAACCUUACCUGGGCUCGAAAUGUAGAGGACUAGCUAAGAGAUUAGCUAUCCCGAAAGGGUCUCUAUAUAGGUGCUGCAUGGCUGUCGUCAGCUCGUGCCGUGAGGUGUUUGGUUAAGUCCAGCAACGAGCGCAACCCUUAUCGUUAGUUGCCAGCGCGUAAUGGCGGGAACUCUAGCGAGACUGCCUAGGUUAACUAGGAGGAAGGUGAGGAUGACGUCAAGUCCGCAUGGCCUUUAUGUCCAGGGCUACACACGUGCUACAAUGGUCGGUACAGAAGGCAGCGAAACCGCGAGGUGGAGCAAAUCCUAGAAAACCGAUCUCAGUUCGGAUUGCAGUCUGCAACUCGGCUGCAUGAAGUUGGAAUUGCUAGUAAUGGCGUGUCAGCAAUAACGCCGUGAAUACGUUCCCGGGCCUUGUA